rnacentral:sRNA from 1 species
GGGACAGGGGGGUCUCCGCCCCGGCGGCGGUGCCUGUCCCCGUGGUCGCGCACACGCGCGGCCUUGUGGUUGUCGCUCGGGGGUGAUCGCCG